rnacentral:tRNA from 1 species
UUGAAUGAAGCUAAAUUAGAAGCCUCUCACUGUUAAUGGGAUUUAGAGCUAAAGCUCCUUUCAAG